CGGCGGACGGGUGAGUAACACGUAGGCAACCUACCCUUGAGAUUGGGAUAACUACCGGAAACGGUAGCUAAUACCGGAUACGACUUUCCUGCAUAAGCAGUUAAGUUAAAAGGCGGAUUUAUCUGCCGCUCAUGGAUGGGCCUGCGGUGCAUUAGCUAGUUGGUGAGGUAGUGGCUCACCAAGGCGACGAUGCAUAGCCGACCUGAGAGGGUGAUCGGCCACACUGGGACUGAGACACGGCCCAGACUCCUACGGGAGGCAGCAGUAGGGAAUCUUCCGCAAUGGACGCAAGUCUGACGGAGCAACGCCGCGUGAGUGAUGAAGGGUUUCGGCUCGUAAAACUCUGUUGUUAAGGAAGAACACUUGAGGUAGUAACUGGCCUUGAGAUGACGGUACUUAACCAGAAAGCCACGGCUAACUACGUGCCAGCAGCCGCGGUAAUACGUAGGUGGCAAGCGUUAUCCGGAAUUAUUGGGCGUAAA
rnacentral:rRNA from 1 species